UACGUAGGGGGCUAGCGUUGUCCGGAAUCAUUGGGCGUAAAGCGCGCGUAGGCGGCCCGGUAAGUCCGCUGUGAAAGUCCAGGGCUCAACCCUGGAAAGCCGGUGGAUACUGCCGGGCUAGAGUCCGGGAGAGGCGAGUGGAAUUCCUGGUGUAGCGGUGAAAUGCGUAGAUAUCCGGAGGAACACCGGUGGCGAAGGCGGCUUCCUGGACCGACACUGACGCUGAGGCGCGAAAGCUAGGGGAGCAAACGG
rnacentral:rRNA from 1 species